UUAUGCGUGGAGAGAUUCUCUCCCAACACAAAUUUAUGCUUCUGAAAAUUCUUUUUCGAUAUAUAUGUUCUGACGUUUUUGUGCGUUGGGAGAUCGUCAUUUUCUUACCGUGGUUGUGACCAUUUCUCCCUUUAUUUUUAAUUUCCCUCCGACCCCUUUCAUUGAAUAAUUAAUAAAACAAAAAAUCACUGGCUUUCCACUUUCUCUCCACCAGCACACAAACCGACCCUCCACCUCCAAGUUUUGGCCGACAAUCAUAAAAUUCCUAUUUUCCGAUGGCAGAAGGUGACCCACGGCGAACGGACGAUAGUGGGUGACCCACGGUGAACGAACGACGGAAGUUUCUUUAGUGACCCACACGAACGCCGACGACGAAUGACCCACACGACCUACACUCACUUGAACUGUCCACGCGAAUCUGUUGAUGACCCAUGGCAAACGACAGUCGGUGAUCCACAGUGAACGAUGGUCGGUGUUCCACGAUGAACGAACGACGAACCACGCUCACCUAAACUGCUACGCAAAUGGGUCCAUCCAAUGGUGACCCACACAGUCUUUCUUCCCACGGUGACCCAUUCCGUCUGACGGCUCCAGGAAGGUGGAAGAUGUUUGGUUACAUCAAAAGCUUCUUUCUCUAGCAAAGGAUCCAAAGAACUGUCCUGUUUAUCACAUUCGCUUUUUGGAGGUAUUUUUUCAAUUUCAUUUGUAUAAUUUUUAGAGGAAACUAAUGGGCAAUGUUGCUUGGUUCCAAACAUUCUUAUAGUUUCUUGCUUAGAGUGGGAUUACAUCAAACAUUCUUUAGUCUCAUUUAUUAUCUUUUUGUUUCUGUUAAAAAAAAAAGAAGAAGAAGAAAUCUUUGCAUCAUGUUAAGCCUUUUGGCUUGGGAGGAGCGAGAGAAUUUUUGAAAAUCGACAUGAGGAUGUUGAAGAUAGUUGUGAUUUUAAUAGUUUGUUAAAAUGUUGAUGGGGUCUUUGCCGUUUGCUUCUUCAUAUGUCUCGUUGUAGUUAGAUACACAAUUGUUGUGCAACAUUUUGUAAUAAUUGCUUAUAACUCUGUAACUCUAUGAUGUCCUCUUAUCAAAAGAUUAUUCAAUUGUAUUAAAUAGAGUUCUAUGUUUGUGUAAACUUUGUUUUAGCGGCAGAAGUUUUAUUGCUCCAUGCUUUCCUUGUUGAUUUUUUAGCACAUAAGUACUAAGUCAGAUGGCAAUGAUGAUCAUAUUUUUCUUGAUAGUAUUCUUUUAAGUGGUUCAUCUAAUGAAGCACCGGAUAGAAGGCUUCCAUUGUCACACAAAAGGUAAUUGUUGGACCUACUGCAUUUUCAUUAUUAGCCUAUCUGUGUCUCCCUCCAUGCUACCUUCUCCAACCCCUUAGGUUUCUUUCCUCGCAUCGUUGAUUUGUGGUAAUUGAUUUCUUAAUCAUUGGUUUGUAUAGAACUUGAGAAAAUAUAAUUGACUUUGAGGCUUGUUCCAAGCUUGAGGACUUAAAUUUGGAAGUUAGAAAAAACUCAAAGGACAUGUUCUGAUAUAGGAAGUGAUAUUUUCAACGAUUUACAAACCAAAGCUUCUUAGCCAGGUAGGUUGGAAUGGGUAUUUUGUCUUUUAUAUUUGAUAAUAUCUACAUGAAUGUCUUGGCAAGACAAAACUUGCCAAAACGUUCGUAGUCUGCAUGCUCAUUGAAGUCUUGUUCUUAUGCUCCCAUCUAAUGGAACUUAUGUGUAUACAAAGGUCGGCAUUCGACUGUAUGUUUAGCAUUCUCACUAGUUUAUUGUAAUCAACAAUUCUUAGGAGAUGGCUUUAAAGGAACAACAGAACGUUUAACGAGGAUAAAAACUUUUUGAUGUUUGAGUUGAAAUCAUAUUGAGUAGUGUCAUUAUGUUUUUAAAGUGUCUAAGUUCCAUUUUUGCUUACAUAUUUUACUUAUUUAUUUUGUUAUGCUUACAUAUUUCAAAUUUGUCGCACAAAUUGUCUUCUAUACAAGAUUUUGAUGCUGACUUCAAAUGAAUAUGAAAAGAGCUUUGGUUGGUAUCUUAUAAUUUUGUUAGGAGAGAUCAUUUCAUGCUUCCAAGACUUAUAGGAACUUUAGUUAUGCACACUAGUUUUGUUGUUUGUGAUGCAAAGAGGUGAUACCUAGUAUUUGGAACUAACUUUGUACAUCCAUUUACUUGAUGUAACUUCAUACUUAUAACUUAGUUGAUAUUACUCAAAAUCUUUAUGAAACUAUCGAAGUUUCUUGA